ACAUAGCCCGGAGAUGGAUUCUGAGACACGAAUCCAGACCCUACGGGGUGCAGCAGGCGCGAAAACUUGGCAAUGCGAGCAAUCGUGACCAGGGAACUCCAAGUGGCUGGGGUAAUACCCAGUUUUUUCUUGACUCUUCAAAGGUCUUGGAAUAAGGGGUGGGUAAGGACGGUGCCAGCCGCCGCGGUAAUACCGGCGCCUCAAGUGGUAGUCGCUUUUAUUGGGCCUAAAACGUCCGUAGCCGGUCUGGUGCAUUCGUGGGUAAAUCAACCCGCUCAACGGGUUGAAUUCUGCGAGCACGGCCAGACUUGGGACCGGGAGAGGUGUGGGGUACUCUCAGGGUAGGGGUAAAAUCCUGUCAUCCUGAGAGGACCACCUGUUGCGAAGGCGCCACACUAGAACGGAUUCGACGGUCAGGGACGAAACCUAGGGGCACGAACCGGAUUAGAUACCCGGGUAGUCCUAGGUGUAAACGCUGUGGACUUGAUGUUGGGGGUGCUCCGAGCACUCUCAGUGUCGAAGCGAAGGUGAUAAGUCCACUGCCUGGGGAGUACGGUCGCAAGGCUGAAACUUAAAGGAAUUGGCGGGGGAGCACUGCAACCUGAGGAUUGUGCGGUUUAAUUGGACUCAACGCCGGGA
rnacentral:rRNA from 1 species